GAAAAUCUUUGAACCUGCCUGUGACGUGGAAGCCCCCAAUUCCAGUUGUUCCACCUUUCUGAACUGAACCAUUGUACAUCUUACAUGUAUUAAUUGAUGUCUCAUGUCUCCCUAAAAUGUAUAAAACAAAGCUGUGGCCCAACCACCUUGAGCUUAUGUUUUCAGGAUCUUUUGAGGCUGUGUCAUGGGCCAUUAGUCACUCAUAACUGGCUCAGAAUAAAUCUCUUCAAAUAUUUUACAGAGUUUGACUGUUUUCAUCGACACAAUGUAAAUAUCAUCUGAGAUGUUAUACUAACCCAUUUAUUUAUUAUUCACUCACUACAUCGUUAUUAAACAUCUUUGAUGUGCCAGGCAUGUGGGGGUGGCUCUGGGCAAACAAAGAAAUAUGCUCAGUCCCUGUCAUUGAGUGAGGCCCAUAAACACAUAAUUCCAGCACAACCUGUUAUGUGAAAAGACAAGGUAUAUAUCAAGUGAAAUGUAAACAAAGGAGGAAAUGACUAACUUUGCUUGGGAUUGCUGAGAAAGACUUUGUAGAAGAGAAGAUUUUUUAUCAGUGUCAUGAAGGCUUAAUAGCAACUGAUUUGUUAAAGAAUCAUGAAAAGAUCAACCCCAAGAAAGAAAAGGAAACAUGGAAGGACCUGGACUGGAGUCACGCCAGUACAAGGAGGAUACUGGCAAAGAUGAGCUGCCUAGGAAUAGCCAGGCAACCAGCUGCUACUUUGAGCACCCGGCUAAAAUAAGCAGAGACAACUGGAAGGCUUGAUGUGAAAAAGAGCUGUUGAAGUGUACACAAGCAAGCUGACUGCCUUAUGACUAAUACUUGACAGAACCCAGCAAGAGGAUAUGAGAUUGCAGAUGGAUGACCUCAAUCCUGAACAGAAAGGCGUGCAUGAUAAUGGAGAGAAAAAAGCCAAUGGGGAAAAAAAACCCACCACUAUUUUUUUAAUAGCCUAACACACACACAAAAAACUGGUUUUCCUUUUUCUGUAAUGUGUCUGUAGAGCUGGCUAUUCUGAUUAAAGUUGCCCUUGAAAAAGCAAUUAACUUAAGAGUCUUACUGGAAGUUAAAAAUCCCAAGGGGCAGGAAAAAUGAGUGUAUGGGAAGCCCAGUCAACAGGUCAGAAGGUACAGCUGGGAGGUUUUAGCAUUACGUACCGUGUGUUUUUCGUUUAAGGGAGAAGCUUAUUUGCUCACUGCUAUAGUUUGGAUGUUUGUCCCCUUCAAAUCUUGUGAUGGAAUCUGAUCCCCAGUGUUGGAAGUGGGGCCUAAUGGGAGGUGUUUGGGUC
rnacentral:lncRNA from 1 species